rnacentral:ncRNA from 1 species
GACAACUCGAUGACUAAAAGAGUAGUUUUGAUGAUGAUUUUUAGCGAGCUAAUGGUGGUGGAAGAUUAGUAAUAUAGUCAAAAUGAAGCGCAUUUACGAGAGGAAAGUGGGAAAUUAUAGUAUCACUUUCGGGUAAUCGCCCUUAACGAUGAAAGAGAUCAUAAGGUCAACUUAUGAUAAAUAGAGUGGUAACGCGGUAAUUCGUCUCUUGU